GACGUAGGGUGCGAACGUUAAUCGGAAUCACUGGGCAUAAAGCGCACGUAGGCGGUGUGCUAAGACGGGUGUGAAAGCCCCGGGCUUAACCGAGGAACUGCAUUCGAGACUGGGGGGCUAGAGGAUGGCUGAGGUGAGUGGAACUCCCGGUGUAGCAGUGAAAUGCGUAGAUAUCUGGAGGAACACCGGUGGCGAAGGCGACUCACUGGACCAUUACUGACGCUGAUGUGAGAAAGCUAGGGGAGCAAACAGG
rnacentral:rRNA from 1 species